CCUACGGGUGGCUGCAGUGAGGAAUAUUGGUCAAUGGGCGCGAGCCUGAUCCAGCCAAGUCGCGUGAGGGAGGACGGCCCUACGAGUUUUAAACCUCUUUUGCCGGGGAGCAACGGGCGUCACGUGUGGCGCCACUGAGAGUACCCGCAGAAAAAGCAUCGGCUAAGUCCGUGCCAGUAGCCGCGGCAAUAGGGGGGAUGCGUGGGUUAUCCGGAUUUAUUGGGUUAAAGGGGGGCGUAGGCGGAUCGUUAAGUCCGUGGGAAAAGUGUUGGGCUAAACACCGUCCCGCCAUAGAAACUGGCGUGCUAGAGUGGAGGAGAAGUAUGCGGAAUGCGUGGUGUAGCGGUGAAAUGCAUAGAUAUCACGCAGAACACCGAUGGCGAAGGCAGCAUGCCGGCUUCCGACUGACGCUGAGGCACGAAAGCGUGGGGAUCGAACAGGAUUAGAUACCCCAGUAGUC
rnacentral:rRNA from 1 species